rnacentral:rRNA from 1 species
CAGUAGCCGCGGUAAUACGAAGGGGGCUAGCGUUGUUCGGAAUUACUGGGCGUAAAGGGCGCGUAGGCGGCCAUUCAAGUUAGAUGUGAAAGCCCUGGGCUCAACCUAGGAAUUGCAUUUGAUACUGUUUGGCUAGAAUCCAGAAGAGGGUAGUGGAAUUCCGAGUGUAGAGGUGAAAUUCGUAGAUAUUCGGAAGAACACCAGUGGCGAAGGCGACUACCUGGUCUGGCAUUGACGCUCAUGUGCGAAAGCGUGGGGAGCAAACAGGAUUAGAGACCCCUGUAGUCCCUGUCUCUUAUAC